UUAGUGUAAUGUACACAGCCAACAGAUAUCCUGAAUUAGAUAAUGUCAGUGAAUCCUAUUUUUAGCAUUAUAGGUUUGGUCAUGUGAACAAGAAUAGGAUUGAUAGGUUGAUCAAGGAACGUAUCCUUGAGAUAGAUGAUUGUGAAUUAUUACCAACCUACGAAUCCUAUCUACUUGGUAAGAUGACUAAGUCACCUUUUAAGAAAAAAAGUGAAAGAGCC
rnacentral:lncRNA from 1 species